GCGGAUGUGGCGGAACUGGCAGACGCGCAGGCUUCAGGUGCCUGUGGGCAUUAGCCCGUGGAGGUUCGAAUCCUCUCAUCCGCA
rfam:Phycisphaerae bacterium ST-NAGAB-D1, complete genome.